rnacentral:rRNA from 1 species
AAUAGAUACCCCGGUAGUCCACGCCGUAAACGGUGGGCACUAGGUGUGGGCGACAUUCCACGUCGUCCGUGCCGCAGCUAACGCAUUAAGUGCCCCGCCUGGGGAGUACGGCCGCAAGGCUAAAACUCGAAGGAAUUGACGGGGGCCCGCACAAGCGGCGGAGCAUGUGGCUUAAUUCGACGCAACGCGAAGAACCUUACCAAGGCUUGACAUACACCGGAAACGUCCAGAGAUGGGCGCCCCCUUGUGGUCGGUGUACAGGUGGUGCAUGGCUGUCGUCAGCUCGUGUCGUGAGAUGUUGGGUUAAGUCCCGCAACGAGCGCAACCCUUGUCCCGUGUUGCCAGCAGGCCCUUGUGGUGCUGGGGACUCACGGGAGACCGCCGGGGUCAACUCGGAGGAAGGUGGGGACGACGUCAAGUCAUCAUGCCCCUUAUGUCUUGGGCUGCACACGUGCUACAAUGGCCGGUACAAUGAGCUGCGAUACCGCGAGGUGGAGCGAAUCUCAAAAAGCCGGUCUCAGUUCGGAUUGGGGUCUGCAAC